rnacentral:lncRNA from 1 species
GGUCGGCAAAUUUGACAUUUUGCUUAUCCAUAAAAAUGUUUUCCGAUACUAAUUAUCUCAAUGCUCGCUGGCUUCUCUCAAAUAUAAUUCUAGAAGAAUCAGCUUUUAUUUCUUUUGUUCCAAGGAUGGAGAAACAUUCCAAGCUUAUAUAUUAGUUCAUCAGCAAGGAAUUAGAAGGUUUUCUAUUUCUUCAUCUUCUUCAAGUUUUUUAAAGAUUUUUUCCCCUAACUUUUGCUUAUUUUUUUCAUGUAUAGCUAAAUUUAAGAAAAACGAUUUAUAAUUUUGGAUAUGCUGUGUCAGAUUUUUGGACUUUUUUGUUCCUGCUUGUAUUAGUCCAAUUGGAUACAGAUUAGCCAAGAGCAAGCAGGUGAUCAACAUACCUACUUGAGGACCAUAUGAGGUAGAUUACUGUUGUGGUUCUUAAGGUUUGUUCUUAUGCAAUAAUCCAUGAAUAUUGAGGUUUUCUGUUUUUUUUGGGCUUAUGGAGCAUUUCAGGUAAGAACCAAAAGAGAGAGAGAGAGAGAGAGAUAUUUUGUAGUUUAGCAUAAAAUAUUUUUUAGGUGAUGUAAUAAUGUAUUUGGCAAGUUUCUUGUUGCUCUUAUGGAAGUUGCUGUAAAUAUUUUUUUUUUUUUGUCAAAGCUGUAAUUCCUUGCUCCUAUGCAUUGUAAGUAUUUUUCUAAUGAGCUAUUUUGUUAUCACGACAUUAUUUUAGUUUCUUUGUUCACUUUAACCCUUUUUGAGUUGGUGUCACUUUCACAAGUUUAAUCAAAGUAGAAUCUCACUACAAAUCUAGAUGGAAAGAGAAACAUAGAAGGUGAAAUAUGUUAAGUUAUCAUCUGUACUCCUUAGAUAGUCAUAGUUACUUCUCUUUGGAUCUUAGUUAUAGAAUAAGAAUUAUUUUAAGAGAACCACAUUGAGUUUGAAUUGACACAUAUCCUUGUAAAGAACUUUUUAUGCAGUUUGUUAUGGAUUCUCUUGAAACUGAGUCUGCAGAUGGUAUUGAAAGUUAAAGAUAGGUAAUUGCACUUUUUCCUUUGAGUUCCUGAAUAUGCUAAGCCGAUAUUAGAUUUUUGCAAUAUGUGGGUUUCUAUAAUAUAUAGUACUUUAUUCCUCUAUUGUGCUCACACACAGAGAGGCAAAGAGGAACAUAAGAGAGGAGGUGUCUCGAAUAUUAACAUGUAGUCCAUUAUCUUUUAUUUUAGGUAAUUCCCUCUAAUUCAAGGCUACUGGUUUAGGAAUUAGGAUAUCGAUUUUCGUAGUAUGAUCAAAUUAUGGAGAAUCUUUGCUCUCUGCUACGUGUAUUUAUGACAUUAGUCAUGAUGAGUUCAAAGUUCAAACACUUACCAGGAAAAGUCCAAUCUGUAGGUUGCUCUGUUUGUUUAGUUAGACAGGAGUUUAUCCUUUUCUUCAUUUGAUUCUUAAUUUGAAAAGUCCAUUACUAUAUUUAUGCCUUCGUUCGUGAAUGAAUUUUUCCCUUAAUGAAAUAAGAGCUUGGUUACCCCUAAAUUUGCAAUAGCAAUGUUUGAAUUUCAGAAGUGUGAAUGCAAUAACUACUUUGAUUUCUUCAUAAAUUUCUAUAUUGUUN